UCCACGACGUUAUAGGCUGCAUGCUGGGAGUCCUGGGAAUGUUGAUUAAAUGAUUCCCAAUCGAAUUCUUCAACAGACUCUACUACUCUGGAUCAGAGGAAGGAACAUUUCAUCCUGACGAUGGGCACUCCCACUUACAGGUGGCGUCACACCGAGGCAUCGCUCGUCCCUCAACCGACAGUGCAGGUGGAUUGGUCGCUCUGACGUAAGGCAUCGAGUUGCCCUAUAACAUUUCCUUUCAUGUCUGCACACAGUCUACUCAAAGUAAAAGGGAAUCUGCUUGAUUGAAGCUUUGCAACAGAGCACAGACCAGGUCACCAUAACCUGCAAUGGGUCAAGAGGCUCUAGUCUAGUAGUCACUUGAUUGUGGAGAUCAUUCAGACCUGGAUACUAUUGGUACUUUUGCCCAAUUUGUAAUACCAGCAUUCCCACUGAACAAAAAAAUGCAAGGAUGAUAUGUCUUGUUUUUGUACUGAGAAUGGCAACCAAAAUAUAAACGCAACAUGUAAAGUGUUGGUCUCAUGUUUCAUGAGCUGAAAUAAAUGAUCCCAGAAAUGUUC